rnacentral:rRNA from 1 species
AGCGAUCGCUGGCGGCAGGCCUAACACAUGCAAGUCGAGCGGAUCCUUCGGGAUUCGUGGCGGACGGGUGAGUAACACGUGGGAACGUGCCCUUUGGUUCGGAACAACUCAGGGGAACUUGAGCUAAUACCGGAUGUGCCCUUCGGGGGAAAGAUUUAUCGCCAUUGGAGCGGCCCGCGUCUGAUUAGCUAGUUGGUGAGGUAAAGGCUCACCAAGGCUACGAUCAGUAGCUGGUCUGAGAGGAUGAUCAGCCACAUUGGGACUGAGACACGGCCCAAACUCCUACGGGAGGCAGCAGUGGGGAAUCUUGCGCAAUGGGCGAAAGCCUGACGCAGCCAUGCCGCGUGAAAGAUGAAGGUCUUAGGAUUGUAAAAUUCUUUCACCGGGGACGAUAAUGACGGUACCCGGAGAAGAAGCCCCGGCUAACUUCGUGCCAGCCGCCGCAGUAAAAC